rnacentral:piRNA from 1 species
UAGGACAAAAGGAAACUAAAACAAAGUGA